rnacentral:tRNA from 1 species
GUGGGCAUAACUUAGUGGUUUUAAAGUGUCGGAUUGUGAUUCCGAAAACGGCGGUUCAAUUCCGCCUGCUCACC